GACGAACGCUGGCGGCGUGCUUAACACAUGCAAGUCGAACGCUGAAGCCCUUUUUGGGUGGAUGAGUGGCGAACGGGUGAGUAACACGUGAGUAACCUGCCCUUCACUUUGGGAUAACCUUCGGAAACGGGGGCUAAUACUGGAUAUGACUCAUGGCCGCAUGGUUGUGGGUGGAAAGAUUCUUUUGGUGGGGAUGGGCUCGCGGCCUAUCAGCUUGUUGGUGGGGUGAUGGCCUACCAAGGCGACGACGGGUAGCCGGCCUGAGAGGGCGACCGGCCACACUGGGACUGAGACACGGCCCAGACUCCUACGGGAGGCAGCAGUGGGGAAUAUUGCACAAUGGGCGCAAGCCUGAUGCAGCGACGCCGCGU
rnacentral:rRNA from 1 species